GACGUAGGGCGCGAGCGUUGUCCGGAUUUAUUGGGCGUAAAGAGCUCGUAGGCGGCUUGUCGCGUCGACUGUGAAAUCCCGAGGCUCAACUUCGGGCUUGCAGUCGAUACGGGCAGGCUAGAGUUCGGUAGGGGAGACUGGAAUUCCUGGUGUAGCGGUGAAAUGCGCAGAUAUCAGGAGGAACACCGAUGGCGAAGGCAGGUCUCUGGGCAUUAACUGACGCUGAGGAGCGAAAGCAUGGGGAGCGAACAGG
rnacentral:rRNA from 1 species